GCUCCGCGCCGCGGGCUUAGCACGUGGACGCGGCGUGGAAUCUCCGUGCAGGCCGGGCGGCUGCUGGUUUUCCUCUUCACCGCCGGGGUUUUUCCGAGGUCUGGGAGCGGCCGUGCUUUGUAAGUGAGCCAGAGGAGCUAGAUCGGCAGUCGGCUGGCCAACCUGGCCGCGUGGGCGCGUCGCAAAAAAGGAACGCGAGACAGGGAGGCGUUGGAAGAAAGUCCUGAGCGAGGGAGGUGGCCCAACAGCAUGCACUGUUUUUAUCUUUGGGGAGUAAAGAGUUCUCGGCUGAAAGACGGACCAAACCUGCUGACUGGGUUCUGUGUCCUGUGUAACAGCAGGCAAACAGCGGUGCAGCUGCUGUGAGAACAUGCCUCCUGAGGGUCAAGGGCCACAUUGUACCCCAAAACCUCAGCUAUCACUUGGAUGCACCUGCCUCCCCCGCACGACCUGGGACAUUGGCUAUCCUCUGACUCUUCUUAAAAAGGGCCUGGGAUUGACUUGUACAGAGUGACCCAGCUAGUGAAGGGGCAGGAAACCCUGUCAUGAAGAGCAGUUAAAGAACUGGGGGUGUUUAGCUCUCAUGUGACAAGCCCUGGGGUCCUGUGAGCCACUCUGAAACUAUUUGGAAGACUGUUCUUCAAACAAACUUUAGGAUGAUGGUCUGCUGCCUUAGGAGCCAGGAUAGAAAUGUUUACAGGAGGUGGAUUUCAGGUCAAUUACAGAGAAGGGGCAGGAUUUAUGCCAUUCUCACCUGCAACCAGGUACAGCUAGGUGUUUGAGUAUAUCAGUAAGAAAAUGUGGAGCUCAUUCAAAUUCUAGUUUGCCCAGUGCCAAAGCCCUUUUCUUUUUAUGAAGCCUUUCUUUUAACAAUGGGUUAUUUCAGGAGUGAUGAUAGUGCCUGAAGAUUUGUGCAUUGAUUGAGCACAUUGGACUGGAGGAUUCAUCCAGCCGUGUUUAGCCGUGUCACUGAUUCUCUACCUCAGAUGAAGACAGAGGUUGGCUGGGCCAGAUGAAGAUGCCAGGGCUACCUGAGAUGGAGGAGGUUUCCAGUCUCACCAGCAGAGCAUGGCUUCCACAUGGCUGCAACAUCCCAGUAGCCUUUCUCUGGAGGUAUGUGAGUUUGAUGUUCUCCUUAGAAGGCAUCCUCCAGAACAACUCAGUACUGCAGCAUGGUCUCACCACAGGUGACUACAGACCACCUAUUCUCUAAUUUGAACACUACGCUGUGGGUAGACUUGCCAACAUCUAGUCAGCAUUGUUUCCCAAAACCUGAAUUAAAAACUGUUUUUGGC